rnacentral:rRNA from 1 species
CCUACGGGAGGCAGCAGUGAGGAAUAUUGGUCAAUGGACGAGAGUCUGAACCAGCCAAGUAGCGUGAAGGAUGACUGCCCUAUGGGUUGUAAACUUCUUUUAUAAAGGAAUAAAACGAGGCACGUGUGCCUUUUUGCAUGUACUUUAUGAAUAAGGAUCGGCUAACUCCGUGCCAGCAGCCGCGGUAAUACGGAGGAGCCGAGCGUUAUCCGGAUUUAGUGGGUUUAAAGGGAGCGUAGAUGGGUUGUUAAGUCAGUUGUGAAAGUUUGCGGCUCAACCGUAAAAUUGCAAUUGAUACUGGCAGUCUUGAGUACAGUUGAGGUAGGUGGAAUUCGUGGUGUAGCGGUGAAAUGCUUAGAUAUCACGAAGAACCCCGAUUGCGAAGGCAGCUUACUAAACUGUGACUGACAUUGAUGCUCGAAAGUGUGGGUAUCAAACAGGAUUAGAUACCCUGGUAGUC